UGGGGAAUAUUGCACAAUGGGCGCAAGCCUGAUGCAGCGACGCCGCGUGGGGGAUGACGGCCUUCGGGUUGUAAACUCCUUUCGCUAGGGACGAAGCUUUUUGUGACGGUACCUAGAUAAGAAGCACCGGCUAACUACGUGCCAGCAGCCGCGGUAAUACGUAGGGUGCGAGCGUUGUCCGGAAUUACUGGGCGUAAAGGGUUCGCAGGCGGAAAUGCAAGUCAGGUGUAAAAGGCAGUAGCUUAACUACUGUAAGCAUUUGAAACUGCAUAUCUUGAGAAGAGUAGAGGUAAGUGGAAUUUUUAGUGUAGCGGUGAAAUGCGUAGAUAUUAAAAAGAAUACCGGUGGCGAAGGCGACUUACUGGGCUCAUUCUGACGCUGAGGAACGAAAGCGUGGGUAGCAAACAGG
rnacentral:rRNA from 1 species